GGGUAAAGCCACCCAGGAGGAUGAAUUCAGAAUAGAAGUGCCUCUGAUCAAUGGUCUAAUAGAAAUCCACAGAUGACAUGACUGCAUUCAGAAUGUCACGAGGAUGUGAACUCCAUGGAGGCAGAGACUUUGUUUGGUUUUCUGGUCUGUUCUCAGCCCCUGUAAGAAGGUCUGGCAUAUGGUAGCUGCUCAAUUCGUAUUUACCGAAUGAAUAAAUAAAUAAAAAUGCAAAGGAGGUGGGAUGAAAGUGGGUGGAUCAAAGUACAUAUCAAAUACUUAUUGGCACUGGGCACUCUGCUUGAUGCUGUGCCUAUGUGCUAAUCCUCACAACAACUCCUUCGUUUAGUGUCACUGUCCCUUUUUCAUUCAGCUGCAGACAAAAGCAGGGCUUUUGGCCGGGCAUGGUGGCUCAUGCCUGUAAUCCCAGCACUUUGGGAGGCUGAGGUGGGCGGAUCACAAGGUCCGGAGAUCGAGACCAUCCUGACUAACACGGCUAUCAGUUUUGACACAUGCAUAUCAAGACCCAGAACUGUCCCACCACCCCAGAGAGUUCCAAAUGCCCCUUCCCAUUCAACCUUCCCUACCCUCAGAUGCCAACACUGAUUAGAAUUCUUCACCAGGGAUUAGUUUUGCUGAUCCUACAAUUUUAUAGGAGUUGAAUCAUACAUUAUGUACUGGGGAAAUCUUCCCAAGGGGGCACAACGAGGCCUCCAUUCUGGUUCCCAGCCUCCACGUCCCUUUGCCAGUCAUACAGGAAGGUUUUAAGACUGAGGACAGAUCUAAAGAAACAAAACCUGUAAUCCCAGCAUUUUGGGAGGUUAAGGCAGGAGGAUCACUUGAGCCCAGGAGUUCCAGACCAGCCUGAGCAACAUAGUGAGACUCCAUCUCAACAACAACAACAAAAAUACAAAAAUUUGCUGGGUGUGGUGGCACAGGCCUGCAAGCCCAGCUACUUGGGAGGCUGAGGUAGGAGUAUCACUUGAGCUCAGGAGAGAAAGGGACAGACCUGUCUGACUUGGAAAUCUCUGGGACAAUUUUAGCAAGUGAGGAAUUUGUAGUGCUCUGUGUAUAGAGUGUGAACGUGAGUGAGUGCGUGUGGGGACACAUGCAUGCAAAGCAGGGUAAACAAUGGGUUUUCUGCAACUUUUGUCUGUUUCAAUUCUCUUGGCCCCAGGCCCAAGAUGCAGCUGCUGUGCAUGGAAGGUUCUGGAGCACACAACUGUGAGCCCCAAGAGCAGAGUGCACCCUGCAGCUGCUUUGUACCGAUGCAUGUUGGCGGGCUGGGCUGCCAGAAGAACCUGUUCUCGAUCUUCACACAGCUGAUCUCUGCACUUCCCUGCAGCGCGUAGCCAGGGUCACACUG
rnacentral:lncRNA from 1 species